CUGUUUCAGAAAAACAGUUUGCUCUCAUCUCUCUCUCUACGAAAGCAAAAAGGGCUCUGUUAGGGCAUAAGUCCCCCUCCUUACCAGCUAACUCCAAUCUGCUUCGUACUCUCGGCUCCGUAGCUUGCUCCAGUGCCCUAUUGUCUUAGUGGAUUACCAUUCCUUGUGCUAGUGUCUAAAAAGAUGAGAGGGAUGUUCGAGAUGGAUCCGGGGGACGUAGCGGUGCAGCCUAGUUUUCUUGUCUUGAUGACCUUAGGGGCAGUUUCAUGGCCAUUGGGCCUUUUGUAAUGGUUGUCCGGUGGCAACUCCUUUUGCUAAACUUAAACGGUUGAAUUUUGUUAGUUUUCCCUUUGGUUGUGGCAUGGUUGCAUGCAUAGUUUUUUUUUUUCCUUUUGAAGUACUUUUGGGAUGACUGUAAUAGUUACCUUUCGUACGUUUCAUGUUUAUUUGAUUGGUU